rnacentral:rRNA from 1 species
CCAGCAGCCGCGGUAAUUCCAGCUCCAAUAGCGUAUAUUUAAGUUGUUGCAGUUAAAAAGCUCGUAGUUGGAUUUCGGGCGGGUGACGGCGGUCCGCCUCUGGUGUGCACUGCCGUUCAUCCGCCUUUCUGUCGGGGACGGGCUCCUGGGCUUCACUGUCUGGGACUCGGGUUCGACGAGGUUACUUUGAGUAAAUUAGAGUGUUCAAAGCAGGCGAUCGCCCUGAAUACAUUAGCAUGGAAUAGCACGAUAGGACUCUGGCCUAUUUUGCUGGUCUGUAGGACCGGAGUAAUGAUUAAGAGGGACAGUCGGGGGCAUUCGUAUUUCAUUGUCAGAGGUGAAAUUCUUGGAUUUAUGAAAGAC